rnacentral:pre_miRNA from 1 species
CAUGCACCAGUGGGGUCCCUCGGCCUGGCCUGCGCCCUCUCGCAAUCCGGGACCCCUUGGAGGAUGUCGGAGAGCUGGCUUCGGCCCGAUCCCGCAGGCCAGGCCGAGGGACCCCACUGGUGCAUG